UUCUGAUUCCUUUGUUCACGCUACUUUUCCUUAUAAUAGGAGAGUUUCCCUCUUCCAGAGAGUCAAUGGGAUCCACAGACUCGCACUCUGAAUCUCUGACAUCGGCCAACUGAGAUUCGCAAGAAUCACCGUCCUCAGGCAACUUGACAGCACACGAUCGAGAAGACUGACCAGAGUUUGCAUGCAGCUAUCAGCCUGAGCAGGAGAAGAGACCAUUACCUCAGUCUGGACAGGGGGCACCACUGGACAGGUAGAAGUCAUCACAUCUUCAGACGUCUGGACAUGGGCUGUCACAUGCUUCACGGUGGCAGAACGUCUCGGUCAGCAACCCCCGGUGACCAAACUGGUGUUGAUCCAAUCGAUGACGAUGGCUGAUGUUGAUCUGGUCGACGACGAAGGGAUCCGGGUCACGGCACCAAUGUGGCCCGUCUGACUACGAUUCUGCAUUGUGUUCUGGUGUAUGGAUAAUGAACAGGACUCUGGACACUGGUUGCCGGUUUCUGGUCUUUUAUUCUAAAUUAGAUUAAAUAAAUGCAGUGAAUACAAUGGAAUGAAUGGUGAUGAGCUUCUCUAUGUUGCACGCAGAGCACACCUCUCCUCAGUAGAGCCAAAGAAUGAAUGGUGAUGAGCUUCUCUAUGUUGCACGCAGAGCACACCUCUCCUCAGUAGAGCCAAAGACAGACUGAGCUGCAUUCAAUUGAUAAUACAAUAAUACAGCUACUUCAUUGACCAUUACUCAAAACUAAUAACAUUCUUACAGUGUUUAGAAAAAGAUAUAUUCCUG